rnacentral:lncRNA from 1 species
UUCCUCUGCAGCGCCCCUACCGACCCGCGCUCCGCAGCUCCUGAGGGCUUUCGAGCCCAGAUGGUCAUCUGAGACGAGAGGUGGCGGCGAAGGAGAGUCUCGCCUGUCACGCUCCCGGAGCAGGGGCUUCAUGAGGUGGCCAUGGAAACAGCCUGGCAGACUCCCAUCUCUCCUGGUGCCAUCUCCGGAGCGGAAAGUGGAGCGCCCCGCUGGCGACCAAGGCCGCACUGAGAGCCCUGGUUUGGUCAACAGUUGGGCUCCAAGAAGUCUCUUCCUUUCACUCUGCUGAGUGAAGCCCUUCCUGCCCUCAGGCUGGACCAUGGCUUCCAUGCUGCCCCUCUUUUCAAGGCUGCUUGUCUACAGUUCUACAGGUUUCUAGGCCCUUGGUGAGUGAAGAGCAGUUCAUUACGAAAUGACCUCCAAGAACAAGGCUCAGCAUUCUCUGAAAUCUCAUGAAGCAGUGUAACCAGCUCUCAAGUAUCUUCCUGUGAACUAGCCACAGGGACUGAGUACGAAGGAAAGGUUAUUCUACUAUUCUGUGCUGGGAGGCAGACAUCGUCAUACUUACCAAGGCUGGAGCCCUGGUAUUCCUUGAACAUGCAUACCUUUCCCAGCGUGAGGGACAUGGACCGUGCCGUGCGAGGGACCCCAUCUUCUGCAGCAGGAGGGAGCAGAGAAGAGAACACAGCCACCCUCAUCAGCCAGAGUUCAAACCCUGACAGUGCCCAUGGAGAGAUCUGGUCCAAGGCACCAACCUCUUCCUGCUGGACUGAGAAAGAGCCUCCUACUGUGUCUCUCUUUACCUCAGCUUUUGCACACCUCCAAUAUAUUGUCCACUGAAGUCAGAAUAAUCUAAAAAUAAAGGCUGAUUACCUCAUGUGGUAUAAACUUA